rnacentral:misc_RNA from 1 species
UAAUAUUGUUUGGACCCAUAGUUCCGUGCGGUAACCACAGCUGUAAGAGAAAGGAAAUUGUUCGAUAACUGUUACGUUGUUUAUCUAUUAAAUAUCCAGUGCAUAAUCGACGAUCGAAUGAAACUAUCAACGUUUAAAGAUUUUAGAAACGGAUUAUAACAUAAAUACGUUAAAAGAUAGCAACUAAAAGCUCGGAUGACGUUGAAAAUGGAAGAAACGCAGACGACCAAGGACGGCGAACAGACGAAGGACGAGACGUCAGAUGCGCUGUAGAUAAACACGAUUAAAGACGUCUUUAGCCUUAUCGUCCGACGUCUUUGCUUCUCCUCGAUCGAAGUAUUAUUGUCUGCUGCGUCUGUUUUCAUUCAAAAGACAACCGGUCGUUAGUCGACCAAUCACGACACUCGACAGAAGCGAGGCUGAUUGGCGAUAGGGUGCAAUACUGAACUGUUCCUUAUCCUCAAACGCUAGAAGAGAACACGUGCUAACCAACCUUCCACUACACUGUCAUACAGACAUGUUUGCUUUUUUAAUAAUAAUCUCCCUUCCUCUUUCCGUUACUUAAACUAGUUUUUGGUAGUGUAAGGCGAGAAACCUGUCCGAAUGCUAAAUUAAUUUCUCUUUCGUGUUUAUUUCUUGUUUUAUUUUUAUUUAUUUUUUUUUGUGAAUAUCCGAUGUCGCAAAUGUACGACAUGACGAGUCACGGAGAUAGAUACAGAUCCAGGCCGAGUUUGAUUCCCGCUGCUCUCAAAUUUCAGGGAUUUCAGGGAUUAUGCGUAGGUGGUUUAGACAAUACCGCAUAUCUUCCAAGCACUAUGGCUUCACCUGCUCUUAUGGUCUUCGCAUCUACUGACGUUACUCAGGGAGGACUUCAUGUUCAAAGACCAUUUUCUGGUCAAGGCCUCGAUAAGGAUCUUCAUUCACCAUACACCAAUUCCAGUUCAUAUCCUGUAAGACCUAUAUUUAGUCAAAGUGAGGGUUAUCCACCCCUUCAAUCCCACGUAUAUCCUCAACUAGUCAAUACUAAUUUAGAUAGGCAAAUGGGUUUCUUAAAUCCCAGUUCAACUGGUGCUUUUAGGCCCAUGAAUACGGAGGACCAAAGCGUAAAUGGUUUCCGCGGCUCAGCAUUCAUCCCAGCCAAAUGUCUAAAACUAGAACCUACACCACCCAAUGAUUCAGUUAGUUCUGCCGGUCAACAACAUUUGACUACUCGGUAUCACAACGACGGCAAUUUCCAUAAUUUGCCAAAUCUUAGAAAUUCUCCGGUCGGAAUUAAAGAAGAAUGUAACACAGAUAAAGACUCAAAUACUACCAGUCCGGAAGUAGGAGAACGGCUGACCGAUACACCGGUUAUAGAUUCGGACACUACCGAAAGAACCACUCCGGAAGAAGGAAGAAUUUUAAGAAAAAUCAAAAAACGUGGCCCUUUUGAUGGUAAAUCACCAUGCUGUCCAAUAUGUGGAUUGACUAUACGCCAGCCAGAAUUAGCUGCCCAUUUUGAACAUGAAUUAGAUAAACUUGGAAAAAUUAACAAAACUAAACGACCAUCGAGGGAAAGCACACCUCAGAGUAGGUCAACACCUUCUAUACCAGGAAAUAAAAAAAAGGAACUUGGAAAUGACAAAGGAACUCCUGAAGUUCGAUGGGAGACAUAUCAACGUGUAAAGUCCAACCGGCAGAACAGGCUGAAUGCGUCGUCAUCACCAAUAUGUGCAGCUCGAAAAGGAAAGAAAAAAAGACCUAUGGAAGAAACAUGUUCUGUAUGCAAUGAACGAUUAUCUGGUACUUCAGAAGAAAUAAAUAAUCAUAUAGAAUCAUGUUUAAGAAAAAAAGAAACUGAAUCAGAUGAAGAAAAUGUUGAUGUAGAAGAUGAGUUUUAUGAAGAAUAUGAAUGGGCAGGUCAAACUCGAAUUAGAGCAACAUCACUUUUACAUGGAAGAUUUUCAGCAUCUGGCUAUCAGGUUGGUAAACAUGAUGACGAUGAUGAUGAUCAAGAUUUAAAUGUAGAUGGAGAUGACACUGUAACUUAUGGUCAAGCCCAAUAUACUGAAGCUGAUGUAAUCCCAUGUACUUCUGAUGAACCUCUAGAAAAUAAAGAAAGACAGGAAUUAAGGAAGGCUUUAUUAAUGAAUGAAACUCCAAACCAACAAAGAUUGUUGCAAUCUAGUAAAUGGAACAUGGAAAAUGUUUGAUGUUCCAACUGUAGAAGGCCUAUGGAAGUAGGUUGAAAAUGUUCUUAGUUGAUUAAAUAUAUUGUUGGAGUUAUACAAGUUUAUGAAAAUGGUUACUUCAACUGAAGAGGGGUCUAAAGACCUAAAAUGUACAAUUUGGAGAUUUAUUUAAAGAAUAAAGAAGAUUUUUAAAUCUAGUCAUCUUCAUGCUUGUGUUAUGAUAAGUCCUGAUUGCCAAGAUUGGAAGUUAUAUAAGAAAAAAAUAUAGAAUUAAAGGGCAAGAAACAUUUUAUAAGAACAUUUGUAUCUUUUGAUACUGUGUUUUUAUGGCCAAUAUAGUCGACCCCCUAUAACGCAGUAGAUACGUUCCACUAUAAAAAUUUCACGUUGUAGGAAUCCUUAAAUACAAGAACCAAUCACAGCCCGGCACAUGUGCAGUU